UACGAAGGGGGCUAGCGUUGCUCGGAAUCACUGGGCGUAAAGGGUGCGUAGGCGGGUUUUUAAGUCAGAGGUGAAAUCCUGGAGCUCAACUCCAGAACUGCCUUUGAUACUGAAAGUCUUGAGUACGGGAGAGGUGAGUGGAACUGCGAGUGUAGAGGUGAAAUUCGUAGAUAUUCGCAAGAACACCAGUGGCGAAGGCGGCUCACUGGCCCGUAACUGACGCUGAGACGCGAAAGCGUGGGGAGCAAACAGG
rnacentral:rRNA from 1 species